UUGGUGUUUUCAACUUUUACCAUAUACCCUAUAGUUAAACAAAUGGUUUUACUCAUCCAUUAUAUCACAUAUCCAACGGUCGAAACUCAUUUGAAAAUUUUGGAUCCAACGUCCCAUAUCAGCGCGCGUCCCACACCUCCCUCUCUGCCGCAAUCACCGCGCCUCCUCCGCAUCCGCGCGACCGCGCGCCUCUCUCGAAUCGGGAGGUGCUCAAGAGAGGCGCGCUCCCCCCGGCAAAUCACCGCCCCCUCCACCCGGAUCCCUCGCCUCCGCGUCGCCGGUCUGCACUCGCGCCGCCCCCGGUCAGCCCGCGUCGCCGGUCCCCAUCAUCGGCGGCGCCGCCCCCGAUCCCCCUCGAUCUGCACUGCGCCCGACGAGUUUAACCCUUGCACGGCUCUGCUGGAGUGUGAGUGCAAGAACGGCGCCGCCGCCGAGAACACGCUGCUCCGGGCGGGCUACGGCGGGUGGCUGCUCUACUCGGCGGCGUCGGCGGGGGACAUGGCGUUCGUACAGGAGCUCAUGGACAGGGACCCCUUGCUGGUGUUUGGCGAGGGCGAGUACGGCGUGACGGACAUGUUCUACGCCGCCGCGAGGGGUGGGAACGCCGAGGUGUUCAAGCUGCUGCUGGACCACGCCAUGUCGCCGAGGUGCUCGACGAAUUGUCCCAACAGGGAAGGCGCAGCAGCGGUGGUGGCUGCUCCUCGGUGUUCUGGCUGGAAAUGAUGAGUAGGGCAGUCCACGCCGCCGCGAGGGGCGGCAACGUGGAGAUGCUGAGGGAGCUCAUCGAGCGUCGCUCCGACGUGUCGGAGUAUCUCGACUUCCGUGGAUCCACCGUGCUGCAUGCUGUUGCAGUUAGAAGCAACCCAGCGCUUCCGACUGAGAUGGUUGUGCGACGACUGGUAGCGCCCAGCGGUUGAGUUCCUGCUGGACAACUGUGGGCGAAGCGGCAAAAUGGCUCACGAAGGCCAGCGGCGGCUGGAGAUUGACGAUGAAGAAGCGGUCAGUGGAAUUUCUCCUCCAUAGCCACUUAGCCUCUCCUUUCAAGAUAACUCUGUAUGCUUGAUGCCCCUCUAAUAAUAGCUUAGGAUUUUUUGAGGCAUCGAUAGCUGCAAUCAGUGCUCAUGUCAUCAUUCAAUGACCUGUAACAAUUUCGAAAAACUAUGUUGGGCACCAGAUGAACCCAGGCAGAUGUUCUUUGGAUCGGUUUUUGUACACCACAAGGUUCUAUCUGCAGGAAAUUUAACAAAAAAAUAAACUGGCCAACUAUAUUCGCUAUGCAAUGGAGUUUAUGGUGAAAGCUCAGUUGCUUUUUGUUCCAUG